rnacentral:rRNA from 1 species
CCUACGGGAGGCAGCAGUGGGGAAUAUUGGGCAAUGGGCGCAAGCCUGACCCAGCAACGCCGCGUGAAGGAAGACGGCUUUCGGGUUGUAAACUUCUUUUAAGAGGGAAGAGCAGAAGACGGUACCUCUUGAAUAAGCCACGGCUAACUACGUGCCGGCAGCCGCGGUAAUACGUAGGUGGCAAGCGUUGUUCGGAUUUACUGGUUGGAAAGGGCGUGCAGCCGGGAAGCAAAGUCAGAUGUGAAAUCCCGCGGCUCAACCGCGGAACUGCAGUUGAAACUGGUUUUCUUGAGUACAGUAGAGGUCAUCGGAAUUCCUGGUGUAGCGGUGAAAUGCGUAGAAAUAAGGAAGAACACCAGUGGCGAAGGCGGAUGACUGGACGGUAACUGACGGUGAGGCGCGAAAGCGUGGGGAGCAAACAGGAUUAGAUACCCGGGUAGUC